CCUGGUAGUCCACCCGUAACGUUGGAACUAGUGUGGGUCCAUUCCACGGAUUCCGUGACGCAGCUACGCAUUAAGUCCCGCCUGGGAGUACGGCCGCAAGGCUAAACUCAAAGGAUUGACGGGGACCCGCACAAGCGGCGGAAGCAUGCGGAUUAAUUCGAUGCAACGCGAAGAACCUUACCAAGGCUUGACAUAUACAAGAACGGGCCAGAAAUGGUCAACUCUUUGGACACUCGUAAACAGGUGGUGCAUGGUUGUCGUCAGCUCGUGUCGUGAGAUGUUGGGUUAAGUCCCGCAACGAGCGCAACCCUCGUUCUAUGUUGCCAGCACGUAAUGGUGGGAACUCAUGGGAUACUGCCGGGGUCAACUCGGAGGAAGGUGGGGAUGACGUCAAAUCAUCAUGCCCCUUAUGUCUUGGGCUUCACGCAUGCUACAAUGGCCGGUACAAAGGGCUGCAAUACCGCGAGGUGGAGCGAAUCCCAAAAAGCCGGUCCCAGUUCGGAUUGAGGUCUGCAACUCGACCUCAUGAAGUCGGAGUCGCUAGUAAUCGCAGAUCAGCAACGCUGCGGUGAAUACGUUCCCGGGUCUUGUACACACCGCCCGUCAAGUCAUGAAAGUCGGUAACACCUGAAGCCGGUGGCCUAACCCUUGUGGAGGGAGCCGUCGAAGGUGGGAUCGGUAAUUAGGACUAAGUCGUAACAAGGUAGCCGUACCGGAAGGUGCGGCUGGAUCACCUCCUUAAG
rnacentral:rRNA from 1 species